AAUGUGGUGUUUAGGUCGUUCCGCAGAGACACUGCUCCUCUCUAAGUCCAUUAUUGAGUACGGUUGUACUAACAUGGCCCAAGGAGGGUGAAAGGCCCGUAAGAGUGGAGUUUUGGUACGACAGUGUCUCUCUGGUUUGACCUUGGAGUCGGGUUGUUUGGGAAUGCAGCCCUAAGCGGGUGGUAAACUCCAUCCAAGGCUAAAUACAAGCACGAGUCCGAUAGCGAACAAGUACCGUGAGGGAAAGUUGAAAAGUACUUUGAAGAGAGAGUAAACAGUGCGUGAAACCGCUUAGAGGUAAACGGGUGGAGUUGAACUGCAAUCUUUGAGAAUUCAGCUGGUGAAAUUUGUAUGAGCUUGGUUAAUUGGGCAGGGCCUCGAGGUAUGCUUAGCUGCAUGUCCUAACCUUUGGGUUGGGAUGCGCGUUGCUCUUAUCAUGGGUUGCGCGCCUCGGGUGUCCGGCUGGCUCGUUCGCCAGUGCACUUUCUCGGAGUGAUCACCACGACCGGCGCUGCUGCUUGGCUGUUUUAGUUAAAUCGGAUAUUCAUCGUCCCUGUGGCUUUGGGUGUUCGACACGGCAGGUAACUGGGGGCUUGCUUCGGCUCGUUGCCCGGUGUAUGCUGGCUUUAACGGUCCUAUGCGGUGUGUCGGAGACGGCGGCUUGUGGUGUGUGCGUGCGUGAUUGCCUGUUGGCAUAUCCUGGUUCGGUGAUUGUGUGCUUGUUUUUGCAAGCCCAGUUAUAGCCGGGGUGUGUCAGUGGGUAGUUGCGUGUGUGCCACUGUUCAGGGCCAAUAGUCUGUGGUGUAGUGGUAGACUAUCCACCUGACCCGUCUUGAAACACGGACCAAGGAGAGUAACAUGUGCGCGAGUCAUUGGGCGUAACGAAACCCACAGGCGCAGUGAAAGUAAAGGUCUGGCUUGUCCAGGCUAAGGUGAGAUCCUGUCGUUAUUCAUGCGCGGUACCACCAAGCUUGGAGCGAUAGGCGCAUCACCGGCCCGUCCCAUGACGUGGCCACAGUCUUCGGAUUGUGCGCCGUCGGGGCGGGGCAUGAGCGUACAUGUUGAGACCCGAAAGAUGGUGAACUAUGCUU
rnacentral:rRNA from 1 species